CCCUUAGAUGUUCUGGGCUGCACGCGCGCUACACUGAUGCGUUCAACGAGUUUAUGACCUUGCCCGAUAGGGUUGGGUAAUCUUUUUAAAUCGCAUCGUGAUGGGGAUAGAUUAUUGCAAUUAUUAAUCUUCAACGAGGAAUUCCUAGUAAGCGCGAGUCAUCAGCUCGUGCUGAUUACGUCCCUGCCCUUUGUACACACCGCCCGCCGCUCCUACCGAUUGAGUGAUCCGGUGAAUAAUUCGGACUGCAGCAGUGUUCAGUUCCUGAACGUUGCAGCGGAAAGUUUAGUGAACCUUAUCACUUAGAGGAAGGAGAAGUCGUANCA
rnacentral:rRNA from 1 species